GACGAACGCUGGCGGCGUGCCUAAUGCAUGCAAGUUGAGCGCUGAAGGUUGGUACUUGUACCAACUGGAUGAGCAGCGAACGGGUGAGUAACGCGUGGGGAAUCUGCCUUUGAGCGGGGGACAACAUUUGGAAACGAAUGCUAAUACCGCAUAAAAACUUUAAACACAAGUUUUAAGUUUGAAAGAUGCAAUUGCAUCACUCAAAGAUGAUCCCGCGUUGUAUUAGCUAGUUGGUGAGGUAAAGGCUCACCAAGGCGAUGAUACAUAGCCGACCUGAGAGGGUGAUCGGCCACAUUGGGACUGAGACACGGCCCAAACUCCUACGGGAGGCAGCAGAAGGGAAUCUUCGGCAAUGGACGAAAGUCUGACCGAGCAACGCCGCGUGAGUGAAGAAGGUUUUCGGAUCGUAAAACUCUGUUGGUAGAGAAGAACGUUGGUGAGAGUGGAAAGCUCAUCAAGUGACGGUAACUACCCAGAAAGGGACGGCUAACUACGUG
rnacentral:rRNA from 1 species